rnacentral:rRNA from 1 species
GCGACGCAGUGGCGACAGUCCGGUGUAAUAAGGAGGUCGCAGGGGGUGUGUGGAAUGACUGGGGUUAAAGGGUGGGUAGGCGGGUGCGGAAUUGUGACGUGAAAGCCCCGGGCGUAACGCGGGAACGGCGUUUAAUACUGUCAGGCUCGGGGAAGGGAGGGGAGAGUGGAAUAUGUGGUGUAGCAGUGAAAUGCGUAGAUAUCAAGUGGAACACCAGUGGCGAAGGCGAGUCUCUGGACAUUUACUGACGCUGAGGCACGAAAGCCAGGGGAGCAAACGGGAUUAGAUACCCUGGUAGUC